rnacentral:rRNA from 1 species
UACGUAGGGUGCGAACGUUAAUCGGAAUUACUGGGCGUAAAGCGUGCGCAGGCGGUUCGCCGUGUCCGAUGUGAAAGCCCCGGGCUUAACCUGGGAACUGCGCUUGUUACUGGCAGGCUUGAGUGUGGCAGAGGGGGGUGGAAUUCCACGUGUAGCAGUGAAAUGCGUAGAGAUGUGGAGGAACACCGAUGGCGAAGGCAGCCCCCUGGGCUAACCACGUGACGCCUCGAUGCACGAAAGCGUGGGGAGCGAAACAAGGA